GUCUUAAUAGUAUAAAUUAUUACUCUGGUCUUGUAAACCAGAAAUGAAGAAUUACUCUUCUUAAGAUA
rnacentral:tRNA from 1 species